UCCUCCUUAGCUCAGUUGGUUAGAGCAUCUGACUGUUAAUCAGAGGGUCGCAAGUUCAAGUCUUGCAGGGGGAG
rnacentral:tRNA from 2 species